rnacentral:lncRNA from 1 species
CCUUCCAUAUUGUAUGCCGUGUGUUGCCACCUUAUCGACUUCGAAAAUGACUCCUCUGAGAAAGGGUCUUCUGGUGUCACUUCCUGUGAGUUACCAAUACGGGACUAUCGAAAUAGAAAAUGUCCCUAAGUAUUUGUGCGAAUGACAUCAUGUAUUCAUGAAAAUUUUGAUUAGGAUAUGUUGCCCAGCUAGACAACCCA